rnacentral:rRNA from 1 species
UACGUAGGGUGCAAGCGUUAAUCGGAAUUACUGGGCGUAAAGCGUGCGCAGGCGGUGAUGUAAGCCAGAUGUGAAAUCCCCGGGCUCAACCUGGGAACUGCAUUUGUGACUGCAUCGCUGGAGUGCGGCAGAGGGGGAUGGAAUUCCGCGUGUAGCAGUGAAAUGCGUAGAUAUGCGGAGGAACACCGAUGGCGAAGGCAAUCCCCUGGGCCUGCACUGACGCUCACGCACGAAAGCGUGGGGAGCAAACAGG